UACGGGGGGGGCAAGCGUUGUUCGGAAUUACUGGGCGUAAAGCGCACGUAGGCGGCUUUGUAAGUUAGAGGUGAAAGCCCGGGGCUACAACUCCGGAAUUGCCUUUAAGACUGCAUCGCUAGAAUUGUGGAGAGGUAAGUGGAAUUCCGAGUGUAGAGGUGAAAUUCGUAGAUAUUCGGAAGAACACCAGUGGCGAAGGCGACUUACUGGACACAUAUUGACGCUGAGGUGCGAAAGCGUGGGGAGCAAACAGG
rnacentral:rRNA from 1 species